rnacentral:rRNA from 1 species
AUGACGCCUCCUGAUGUCGUUUCACAAUCUGAUGUGAUGGCCUCUUCGCCAGCCUUCGUCGAAGCAGCGGCUGCUUGCGAAGUUGCAUCUGAUGUUGUUGAAUCUGUAAAACAACUUGCUGCAGUGGCCACCAUCACUCCUGUUGUUGAAGAGCUCGCCUCUACAACUGUUAAUGAUGAAUUGCAUGCUGAGGAAAUUCCUACUGCAGACACUGCCAUCACCGAAGCUGCCCAAGUGUCUGUGCCCCCUGAUGUGGGAGUGGUUGUUGCAGCAACUGGUGUUGAUGCAGAAAAAACAGCUCUAGAACUUGACGAUGACGAAGUACUUAUGUGGUGGGAAGAAUUUGAACAUGAUAACCCAGCAGCCAAAGGAAAAGCUAUUGUCCAAGGAGAGCAUUGUCAAAGCUCCACAUUUCCUACACCACACUUACCCCAACCCAAAGAGUAUAUGCAGCGCAGUGCCAUGCCUAUAUCAUUAAUUAGGAAAGUUAUUGUUACCCGCAAAUCACAAUACCAGCUGCCGCCAUAUUUGACACUCAUCCCCAGCAAAGAUGAUGAGGCUGUUUAUGAUGAAGUUAUCAAGCACACAACUGAUUCGAACUCCAAGAUUAAGGGUGUUAGGGUAAUCGACAUCGAUGGGAGGUGGGUCACACUCGGCGAGCUUGCUGAUUGUGUGAGAAAAAUGGGGCAGGUUUCAACCAGUAUUAUUGAGUUGCAUGUCCGCGUUCUUCAAUAUUUGGAAAUGCCAGACAAGAUUAUCUUCCCUUGGUCACUGUCUGUAUAUCUUCUUGUUGGAGACUUCAAAUGUAAAUCUGUAAUGCAUCAUUUUCGACGGGACCAGCAUUACAUUCUGAGCCACCAAAAUGAGCUACUAUUCCCUGCUCUACAAAAGUUGGGAGAGGGACCACAUGACAGUCAUUGGUAUGUAUUAUCGCUGAAUCUUAAGGCAAAACGAUUUGAGGUGCUAGAUUCACUGCGUGAAUAA